UUUAAGGCGGCAACAAUAUAAAGAGAUCGAUGCAUUCGAACAAAUAACAAAAGACAUUGUUGGCUUUUGGCCACCAUCAGUUUAAGGAAUUCAUUUGUUAAGUUCAAGGUUAUGUUAUGUUGUGUGUGUGUUUUAUUGAAAUAUAGUGUUUUUUGUGUAGAAUAUAGUGCAGAACAUUUGUUCACUACUUCAAAUCACUAUUUCAGAUUGCAGUGGCUAAACAGUGGACACGUAUUCUCAAUUUGCUCUUCCAAACUUUUCAAGCGCCUUAAAAAGUUUCUUCCAGUUCCAGCAUGAGAUACUUCCCUCUCUGAGAGUGCAAGACGGAGUGCUGGAGUGCGGAGGUUACCACCAUGUCUGGUGGGAAUUUGUGAUUUUCUCCAACAGCAUGAGGAUCCUGUGUUUUUUUUUUUUCAGUCUAAAAAUAAUUGUUCAAUAUAUGUAAUGAGAAGUAAAGGUUAGAAUUCUACAUGAAUGAAAGACUUAUUUGCAAUAAAUUAAA